rnacentral:rRNA from 1 species
AACGAACGCUGGCGGCAGGCCUAACACAUGCAAGUCGAGCGCCCGCAAGGGAGCGGCGGACGGGUGAGUAACGCGUGGGAACGUGCCCUUUGCUAUGGAAUAGCCUCGGGAAACUGAGAGUAAUACCGUAUGUGCCCUUCGGGGGAAAGAUUUGUCGGCAAAGGAUCGGCCCGCGUUGGAUUAGGUAGUUGGUGGGGUUGUGGCCUACCAAGCCGACGAUCCAUAGCUGGUUUGAGAGGAUGAUCAGCCACACUGGGACUGAGACACGGCCCAGACUCCUACGGGAGGCAGCAGUGGGGAAUCUUAGACAAUGGGCGCAAGCCUGAUCUAGCCAUGCCGCGUGAGCGAUGAAGGCCUUAGGGUUGUAAAGCUCUUUCGUGGGGGAAGAUAAUGACGGUACCCCAAGAAGAAGCCCCGGCUAACUCCGUGCCAGCCGCCGCAGUAAAAC